GUACUGUGAAGCAUCCUGUUAAGUCAGGCAACGAGCGAGACCCACGCCAACAGUUGCCAGCUCGGUCCUCCGGGAGUGGUGGGGACGACUGUUGGGACCGGCCUCUGCUAAAGAGGAGGAAGGAAUGGGCAACGGUAGGUCAGCAUGCCCCGAAUUAUCUGGGCUACACGCGGGCUACAAUGGGUGGGACAAUGGGUAUCGACACCGAAAGGUGAAGGCAAUCUCCUAAACCCAUCCGUAGUUCGGAUUGUGGGCUGCAACUCGCCCACAUGAAGCUGGAAUCUGUAGUAAUCGUGUCUCAAAAAUGGCACGGUGAAUAUGUCCCUGCUCCUU
rnacentral:rRNA from 1 species